UACUGCAUUAGGAACUGAUUGGG
rnacentral:miRNA from 1 species